rnacentral:rRNA from 1 species
ACGUAGGGGGCAAGCGUUAUCCGGAUUUACUGGGUGUAAAGGGAGCGUAGACGGCUAAGCAAGUCAGAAGUGAAAGGCUGGGGCUCAACCCCGGGACUGCUUUUGAAACUGUUUGGCUAGAGUGCUGGAGAGGUAAGCGGAAUUCCUAGUGUAGCGGUGAAAUGCGUAGAUAUUAGGAGGAACACCAGUGGCGAAGGCGGCUUACUGGACAGUAACUGACGUUGAGGCUCGAAAGCGUGGGGAGCAAACAG